AGCAGCUCACACUCACAAAUAUCUCUGCUCUCUCUCUCCGAUUUUACACAACCAACCACCCACCAAUUCCCCAUAAAUUUAUUUGUUGAAGUUGAAUAGACCAAAGGAAACACCAUAGUCUUCCCCUUCAUUCUAGACAACACAUUCCAAGAUCCCCAAUUUUUAGCACACAUCACACACACUUGUGUGUGUGCGUAUCCGAGAAAUCGAGAAAGAUGCAUGAGAGACUAGAUGAAGACGUGGGUGACCGGCCACCUAGUCACGGCGGCGACUCGAUGGUGCAUGACGGCACAUGGUGGCUCGCUUAUUUUUUUUUCUUUGACCCGACUUUUCAACUAGUAACCUCAUCCUCUUGACUCCUCCAUUAGUUCUCCCCUAAAGGGCAAGACCAGGUGAUGGUGGUGAGGCCUUAAAGGACGUCACAACAGUAGCGUGGUGUCGAGCAAAGAUCGGACACAUGAGCAUCCAGAUCUGAGCAGAUCGUGUUUGUGCAUAUUGGUUCGUUUCCAACCGGAUUCACUUUUCGGGUUACUCCAUGGUGUCUGGGUAUUGGUGACCGUAAUGGAACACGGCAAAGAACCGUUGGCUGGCCGACGACGACGGAUGAGGUGGUUUUGGGUUAGAUUAAGAGCAAAGCGAGGGGGGAAUGCUUUAGUUGCACGCUAGCGAGCUCACAUUCUUGGAACGACACUAUGGAAUAUACACUUAGCUAGCUUUGCACAAGGAUAUCAAGGUUACUUUUUCAGAAACAAUGGCACGGUUGGAAUAGGAGAACCCAUGGGAAUUCGAGUA
rnacentral:lncRNA from 1 species